rnacentral:rRNA from 1 species
AGUGAACGCUGGCGGUAGGCCUAAUACAUGCCAGUCGAACGGCAGCACAGUAAGAGCUUGCUCUUACGGGUGGCGAGUGGCGGACGGGUGAGGUAUACAUCGGAAUCUACUUUUUCGUGGGGGAUAACGUAGGGAAACUUACGCCAAUACCGCAUACGACCUACGGGUGAAAGCAGGGGAUCUUUGGACCUUGCGCGAUUGAAUGAGGCGCUGUCGGAUUGGUUAGUUGGCGGGGUAAAGGCCCACCAAGGCGACGAACCGUAGCUGGUCUGAGAGGAUGAUCGGCAACACUGGAACUGGAACACGGUCCAGACUCCAAGGGGAGGCAGCAGUGGGAAAUAUUGGACAAGGGGGGCAGUCCUGAUCCAGCCAUACCGCGUAGGUGAGGAAGUCCUUCGGGUUGAAAGGCCUUUUUGUUGAGAAAGAAGAGCAGCAGGUUGAUACCCCGAUGUUCUGACGGUACCCUAAGAAUAAGCACCGGCUAACUUCGUG